CAAUAGCGUAUAUUAAAGUUGUUGCAGUUAAAAAGCUCGUAGUUGGAUUUCUGAUCGAGACAUCAGGUCGGGUCCGAGAGGAUCAUGUACUUUGAUUUUGUUUUGAUCAUUCUUGGGGAGAGCAUUUCUGGCAUUCAGUUGUCGGGAUUGGGAUCCUCAUCGUUUACUGUGAAAAAAUUAGAGUGUUCAAAGCAGGCCUCGGCCUCUGAAUACAUUAGCAUGGAAUAAUAAGAUAGGACUUUGGUGGUCUAUUUUGUUGGUUUGCACGCCAAAGUAAUGAUUAAUAGGGAUAGUUGGGGGUAUUCGUAUUCAAUUGUCAGAGGUGAAAUUCUUGGAUUUAUGGAAGACGAACUACUGCGAAAGCAUUUACCAAGGAUGUUUUCAUUGA
rnacentral:rRNA from 1 species